rnacentral:rRNA from 1 species
UACGUAGGGUGCAAGCGUUAAUCGGAAUUACUGGGCGUAAAGCGUGCGCAGGCGGUUUUGUAAGUCAGAUGUGAAAUCCCCGGGCUUAACCUGGGAACUGCGUUUGAAACUACAAGGCUAGAGUGCGACAGAGGGGGGUGGAAUUCCACGUGUAGCAGUGAAAUGCGUAGAGAUGCGGAGGAGCACCGAUGGCGAAGGCAGCCCCCUGGGCUAACACUGACGCUCAGGCACGAAAGCGUGGGGAGCAAACAGG